rnacentral:rRNA from 1 species
CCUACGGGAGACAGCAGUGAGGAAUAUUGGUCAAUGGACGAGAGUCUGAACCAGCCAAGUAGCGUGAAGGAUGACUGCCCUAUGGGUUGUAAACUUCUUUUAUAUGGGAAUAAAAUGUUCCACGUGUGGGCUUUUGUCUGUACCAUAUGAAUAAGGAUCGGCUAACUCCGUGCCAGCAGCCGCGGUAAUACGGAGGGUCCGAGCGUUAUCCGGAUUUAUUGGGUUUAAAGGGAGCGUAGGUGGAUUGUUAAGUCAGUUGUGAAAGUUUGCGGCUCAACCGUAAAAUUGCAGUUGAAACUGGCAGUCUUGAGGACAGUAGAGGUGGGCGGAAUUCGUGGUGUAGCGGUGAAAUGCUUAGAUAUCACGAAGAACUCCGAUGGCGAAGGCAGCUCACUGGACUGCAACUGACACUGAGGCUCGAAAGUGUGGGUAUCAAACAGGAUUAGAUACCCCAGUAGUC